UACAAUGGUCAAACUACAUUAAAACAGAAUUGUCCCCAUUUUAUCUUUAAUAGUUACUAACAUUAGAUAUGUUAAUGAGAUAUGGACCGCAAAACCAAAAAUGUCCCUGCUUUUCAUUUUUGAAAACAAGUCACUGAAUGCAAGUAGUCGCCUUAGCUUAUUUUGUUAUGAGAUGUGAAUUACUGUUCAAUCUAGUUGAUGUAAUAAUCGUUUGGUUUAUUUUACAUUAAAAACAAGUUACAAUUUUCAAAAGGUCUUUAUCGGGGGGGAGGCCCUUUUCCCAGUUCAGAGCAAUAGCCCCUCCAAAUGUCUGUGCACGUCCCUGUUCACAGAGGGUGUGAGUAGGUGUUCUCCCAGUGAGACUGCAUGCUUCCCAUCAAGGGAGUUGUCUCCUUCCUCUGCUCCGCCCAUUAUGAGCCUUGUAUCAGCUGCACUGUAACUCGAGCUGAAUUUCAUGAAUAAUCCUCCAGUCUUUCCCGGACUGCGCCGGACAUAGUAAGACAUGAAAUCCAGAAGACAGCCCUCUCUCUGCAGUCUCACGUGUUAAAAGUCCAACAGACCCUGGAUAUCUCUGAGUUUUCUGGCUUCACUAACAACUGGGAUCUCGGUGAAUCAACCGAGAGUUUCUCAGCUCGGAUACAGGAAAUGGGCGGGGUUAGCAACAUCUAACCAAUCAGAAACAGGGACGAGCUAACUGACUGCGCGUCAUUCUAAAUACAGAGUGUUUUCCUGUGGCCAAGAUGUGGGAAGUACAAUAUUGAGGUAUUUGUAUUUUACUUGAGUAUUUCCAAUUAUGCUACUUUGCACUUCUACUCCACUACAAUUCAGAGGUAAAUUGUGUACUUUUCCUCCACUACAUGUAUUUAAUACCUUUUAGUUAUUUUACAGAUGUGGAUGAAUGCUGUGAAAUCUAAUCAAGUGUUAAAUCAGACUUUAGUUCCACCUGGAGUAAAUUCACAAGCUACCCUGCACGUAUACAAAGUCAUUCAGCAUGCAGCCCAUCAGGACAAAGCUCCGGACCUGGGGUGACAGGGCCUUCGCAGUAGCCUCCCCCUCACUCUGGAACUCCCUCCCCAGCCACGUCAGAUCCGCCAACACUCUCACAUCAUUCAAACAAUCCCUCAAAACUCACCUUUUCACUUUUGCCUUCAACUCCUAAUCAACUAACCCCUUGCCCUUAUUCCUCCUAGCUUAGCGCUUUGAGCACCAGGAAAAGCGCUUUAUAAAUGUAAUGUAUUAUUCAAACUAGCUGCACCUUUACCAGCUUUGAUAACACAUCAAUCAUUAUAAAACAUAUAUAUAUAUUAUUCUGAAAUGGACCAAUAUAAGUGGGUGCAAUACCGCGUUUCACCAUAACAUCCAGAGGGGUGCUGUUUCACUCGUUGUAAAAUACUCAAUGAAAAAAGCGGAGCGAUGGCAGCAUCGAAUAAUUAAACAUACUAAACAAUGCAGAUUUCUUUACUAAAAUCAUAACAACGGUCUGAAUAAACAGAGGAGAAAACCCACUACCGAUCAAAGUUGUGCAGUUACAGUAACUCAUACUGUAAGCAUCUCACUUCUUUAUUUCCUCUUUAGUUUUGUGUAUUUUAUUUUAUAAUAUCUCUUGUUCUAUGACCAUCAGCCCACACUGGCUCUAAAAUAAACCUCCUAUAAAUGUGCAGGUGGCAUUCAUAUUCAUCAUCAGUAUGAAGUGUACCUGAAUGCAGUAUAAUUCCCUCAAAGCAUAAUGUACUUAAAGUAUAAAAAGUGUUCAUUGUGCAGAGAAGGUCCUUUAUGUGUAAUGAUGUGACAUUUCUAUCAAGAAGCAUUUUACUGUUGUAGACUAAGUGCUGAUUUACUUUUUGUAAAAUAUUUAAAUCUUUGACUUUUUUCUGACUUACAGAGUUAGAGCACUAGUUUAAUUUUAAGAGAAGCAUUUUGUUAAAAGAAUAGCUAAGGCUGUUGAAUAAAUGUAGAGGAAAGACAUUACAUUAUUUCCCUUUUUUAAAAGCAGUUGAAAUACUCAGGAAAUGUACAAGUACCUCUACUUUAUGUGGGAUCAUUUUUUAAAUAUAAAAGAUCACUGAUAUGCAGCUGAAUAAAUGUUAAUAUCAUUCAA